rnacentral:rRNA from 1 species
UACGGAAAGGCAGCAGUGGGGAAUAUUGCACAAUGGGCGCAAGCCUGAUGCAGCCAUGCCGCGUGUAUGAAAAAGGCCUUCGGGUUGUAAAGUACUUUCAGUCGUGAGGAAGGUGUUAAGGUUAAUAACCUUAGCAAUUGACGUUAGCGACAGAAGAAGCACCGGCUAACUCCGUGCCAGCAGCCGCGGUAAUACGGAGGGUGCGAGCGUUAAUCGGAAUUACUGGGCGUAAAGGGCACGCAGGCGGUUAAUUAAGUUGGAUGUGAAUCCCCGGGCUUAACCUGGGAAUGGCAUUCAAGACUGGUUAGCUAGAGUCUUGUAGAGGGGGUAGAAUUCCAUGUGUAGCGGUGAAAUGCGUAGAGAUGUGGAGGAAUACCGGUGGCGAAGGCGGCCCCUGGACAAAGACUGACGCUCAUGUGCGAAAGCGUGGGGAGCAAACGAGGGAUUAGAUACC